AACGAUGUCGACUAGGAGGUUGUGCCCUCGCGGCGCGUCUCCAGGAGAUAACGUGAAAAGUCGACCCCCUGGGGAGUACGGCCGCAAGGUUAAAACUCAAAUGAAUUGACGGGGGCCCGCACAAGCGGUGGAGCAUGUGGUUUAAUUUGAUGCAACGCGAAGAACCUUACCUACUCUUGACAUCCAGAGAACUUAGCAGAGAGGCUUUGGUGCCUUCGGGAAAUUUGAGACAGGUGCUGCAUGGCUGUCGUCAGAUCGUGUUGUGAAAUGUUGGGUUAAGUCCCGCAACGAGCGCAACCCUUUUCCUUUGUUGCCAGCGCGUGAUGGCGGGAACUCAAAGGAGACUGCCGGUGAUAAACCGGAGGAAGGUGGGGAUGACGUCAAGUCAUCAUGGCCCUUACGAGUAGGGGUACACACGUGUUACAAUGGCGUAUACAAAGGGAAGCGACCCCGCGAGGGCAAGCGGAACUCCUAAAAUACGUCGUAGUCCGGAUUGGAGUUUGCAACUUGACUCCAUGAAGUCGGAAUCGAUAGUAAUCGUAUUUCAGAAUGAUCCUGGAAUACGUUCCCGGGCCUUGUACACACCGCCCGUCACACCAUGGGAGUGGAUGCAAAAAAAGUAGGUAGGUUAACCUCCGGGAGGGCGCUUACCAAUUUGUGCACUCCAGGGCCU
rnacentral:rRNA from 1 species